GACGAACGCUGGCGGCGUGCUUAACACAUGCAAGUCGAACGGGUCUGCCCUGUUUUUUGCGGGGUGGGUCAGUGGCGAACGGGUGAGUAACACGUGAGUAACCUGCCCCUCACUUCUGGAUAACCGCUUGAAAGGGUGGCUAAUACGGGGUGUUCUGGCUGUGCCGCAUGGUGUGGCUGGGAAAGAUUAACUUUUGUGGUGUUUUGGUGGGGGAUGGGCUCGCGGCCUAUCAGCUUGUUGGUGGGGUGAUGGCCUGCCAAGGCUUUGACGGGUAGCCGGCCUGAGAGGGUGGGCGGUCACACUGGGACUGAGAUACCGCCCAGACUCCUGCGGGAGGCAGCAGGGGGGGGUAUUGCACAAUGGGCGGAAGCCUGAUGCAGCGACGUCGCGUGAGGGAUGGAGGCCUUCGGGUUGUGAACCUCUUUCGCCGGUGAAGAAGGUCCUGCUCUUUGUGGGGGGGUUGACGGUAGCCGGGUUAUGAAGCGCCGGCUAACUACGUG
rnacentral:rRNA from 1 species